AGCCAUUAGUAAUCUCUGAAGUAAAGUAAGGCAAAUAACGUUAAUAGUCGAGUAGCUGAGUGACAUUGGCCAAAAUGAAGUGCAAUAAUGUUUGGGUCAGAUACCAAUACACUACAUAUUUCAACUCGUUUCAUGACUGCGAUGGAGCUUUGUGUCCGGCAUGGCUGCAAACUAUCCGAAAUCCUGUUUAUGGUUUCGAUACGACGCCUGAAGUAAUUUACCAGCUGCGGUUGACCGUGUCCAGUGAUCACUUUAUGGCCACUGACUGCAAUGGGGACACCUGCUUGUCAAAUAUCUCAUUCCAAAAUCAUGGGCAUUAAUACUGAGUUGGUCCUUUCUUUGCUGCUAUAACAGCCUCCACUCUUCUGGGAAGACUUUCCACCAGAUGUUGGAACAUUGCUGCGAGGACUUGCUUCCAUUCAGCCACAAGAGCGUUAGUGAGUUCGGGCACUGAUGUUGGGCGAUUAGGCCUGGCUCGCACUCAGCGUUCCGAUUCAUCUCAAAGGUCAGGGCUCUGUGCAGGCCAGUUAAGUUCUUCCACACUGAUAUCAACAAACUAUUUCUGUAUGGGCCUCGCUUUGUGCACGGGGGCAUUGUCAUGCUGAAACAGGAAAGGGCCUUCCCCAAACUGUGGCCACAAAGUUGGAAGCACAGAAUUGUCUAGCAUGUCAUUGUAUGUUGUAGCAUUAUUUCCAUUUACUGGAACAAAGGUGCCUAGCCCAAGCCAUGAAAAACAGCCCCAGACCAUUAUUCCUCCUCCACCAUACUUUACGUUUGGCACUAUGCAUUGGGUCAGGUAGCGUUCUCCUGGCUUUCGCCAAACCUAGAUUCAUCUGUCGGACUUCCAGAUGGUGAAGCGUGAUUCAUCACUCCAGAGAAUGCGUUUCCACUGCUCCAGAGUCCAAUGGCGGUGAGCUUUACACUACUCCAGCAGACGCUUGGCAUUGCGCAUGGUGAUCUUAAGCUUGUGUGCAGCUGCUCAGACAUGGAAACCCAUUUCACGAAGCUACCGAAGAACAGUGCUGACGUUGCUUCCAGAUGAUUUUUACGCGCUUCAGCACUCGGAGGUCCCAUGAGCUUGUGUGGCCUACCACUUCCCUUCUGAGCCGUUGUUGCUUCUAGACGUUUCCACUUCACAAUAACAGCACUUACAAUUGACCGGAGCAGUUCUUGCAGGGCAGACAUUUGACGAACUGACUUGUUGGAAAGGUGGCAUCCUAUGACUGUGCCACCUUGAAAGUCAUUGAGCUCUUCGGAGAUCCACGAAGCCAUGUGGAGGAUUCCAAACAGGCCAAGGACCGGGUAGAGAAGAGUGUCCAAACAGAAGACAUUCAACUUUAGAACCCAACGGGUCCAGCAGACUGUCAAGCGGCGUGAAGAGAAACAGAUCAUAUACAAAGACUCAGACUUCCAGGAGGACAAGCCCGGACUAGAACCCGAUCGAACAUCUAUGGAGAGACCUGACAAUAGCUGUGCGUGCGGUGACGCUCCCCAUCCAACCUGACAGAGCUUGAGAAGGCCCUCGAGGACUGGAAUUGCCCACCCUCGCUGUAAACGCUGGUUCUUCAACAAAGUACUGAGUAAAGGGUCUGAAUACUUAUGUAAAUGUGAUAUUUCAGUUAAAAACAUUUAAUACAUUUGCAAAAAUGUCUAAAAAAACCUGUUUUUGCUUCGUCAUUAUGGGGUAUGUGUGUAGAUUCAUGAGGAAAAAAAUACAAUUUGAUCUAUUUUAGAAUAAGGCUGUAACUGGAAAAAGUCAAGGGGUCUGAAUACUUUCCGAAUGUCUAAGAAGUCCAAGAAGCUGGAUAUCAUAUCUGCAGCUGAGAAAUGUUUUGGGCUCCCAAGACUUCACGGCAGAAGCACUACAAGGUCUAAUGUAUCUAGGAAAUGUUCUGCCCUCACAGGAGGCUUCUGAUCCUGUUUUGAGACCUGAUUAUAAUUAGGUUCUUACAGCAGAUUGAAUAUGUUUAGUUCAUUUCCUUUUUGGUAGUUUGUAUGAAUUGUUAUUUAUUUUUACCCAAACGGGAUCCUUAUUAUCCACCCGCACAGUAGGUGGUGGAAUGCACAUCUAAUUAUUGCGAACGCCAUUAUACCAUAGAGGACGAAAAGCUUCCCAUUUGGACCAUCAGGUGUGGCACAACGUUUCCAGUUGAUCCUGGGAAUUCUGAAGAAAGUCUCCAACACCAGGAUGUGAUGACAGACAAGAAAUCGGAGUGUUUAGUUAUAUACAUACACGCCAUCUUCUGCUGCAUCAUAUCGAAGCAAGCUGGUCCCAUUGUCGACAGCUGAGACAUUCACUGUCUGUCGGUAGAGGUUGCCAUCUCCUGCAACUGCACCACCAGUCACAGGAAGAGCCUGUGUUUCCUCAACAUCUGGCCGUUCUCGUCUCUCGAGCUCUUUUCUCUCUGUCAGCCCGCAAAUUUGUACAGAGAAAGUCAUUACGAGGACUAUUGUGGUCAUGGGAGGCCAGAGCAGUGUGUUUGGGAGGUAUUUACGAUGGACUUUAAUGUUGCAUGGGGUUUCUAUGGGGAAGGCGCGGGUAUUACCUACAUCUAAAUACUCAAGCAAUGGACCUAACAAACUGUCUGGGGUACUGACAAACGACCAGGCUAGUGUUUUAUAAAGGGCCCAGAAGUGUUAAGGAAAUCGUUCUUCUUGCAAAUCAUGUAAAUGUUUUGAACAAACUAUUAUAUUAAUCUGACUAUCCACAAUACUCAUAUUAUUGUGUGCGUGUAACCGUGUUCAUUGAUAGCAGUACUAUUCUCACUGUCAGUUACUUUUCCACUACUAAUACUAUCACUACUACAGCUACUAGAACAUCUACUAUCUGUAGUACUAACAGAGAUGGAGCCUCCCUGUAUGUAAGAAUACUACAGCACCUGCCAAGCAGUCUGGAUCUUUAUAUCACAGAAAGUACCCUUGUCGUGUAAAUGCAGGGUUGCUGGUUCAAGUCCCAUUUCAGCUGUCCCUUCUCAAUUUGUGUAAUACUUCUAAUACCCUGUGAACAAAACGUUGUCUAGGUUGUCCAGAGCGUCAGGAAAUUGUCAUGGUCCCCUGUUUGAUGGGUACUACCACACGUUUUUGAUUAUUUUAUUACAUUUAGUAAAGAAACACAAUUUAGACAAUAUAAGAAAACAUUUGUUCCCUUCAAACAUUUUGUCAGACCCAUACCCUUCACAAACAUGUAAGCUCUGAGGUUACAUGUCUAUUAUACACUGAGUGCACAAAACAUUAGGAACACCUUCCUAAUAUUGAGUUACAUCCCUCAGAACAGCCUCAAUUCAUUGCGGCAUGGACUCUACAAGGUGUCAAAAGCAUUCCACAGGGAUGCUGGCCCAUGUUGACUCCAAUGCUUCCCACAGUUUUGUCAAGUUGGCUGGGUGUCCAUUGGGUGGUGGACACACGGAAAACUAUUGAGUCUGAAAAACCCAGCAGCGUUGCAGUUCUUGACACAGUCAAAGCGGUGCGUGUGGCACCCAUUACCAUAACCUGUUCAAAGGCACUUGCACUUUUUGUCUUGCACAUCACCCUCUGAAUGGAACACACACACAAUCCAUAUCUAAAUUGUCUCAAGUCUUAAAUAUCCCUCUUUAACCUCUCCUCCCCUUCAUCUACACUGAUUGAAGCGUUACACAGGUGAUAUCAAUAAGAGAUCAAAGCUUUCAUCUGGAUUCACCUGGUCAGUCUGUCGUUUAAAGAGCAGAUGUUCCUAAUGUUUUGUACACUCAGUGUACAGUCUCACUGAGAUGCAUUUUUCAAAAGCUUUUAAUGCUUAACAAUAUCACCAUACCUAUCAUGAGUCACAUCUUACACUACACUAGAAUUGUUGCUGUAUUGUCUUGUACAGCGAUAUGGUCACAGCAGGCUAUUUCUAAUCUAUACUUUAUACAUCAAAAUAUUGUGUGACCCUCCAAAUAAACAAGACAAUGUUUUUAAAUUCAGCUCAGUAGGAUUACAGCGACCCAGUAGGAGCCCUGGGAAACUGGAUAAGAGGAUAAGAAUGUACCUUCUUACAUUUACAUUUACAUUUAAGUCAUUUAGCAGACGCUCUUAUCCAGAGCGACUUACAAAUUGGUGCUUUCACCUUAUGACAUCCAGUGGAACAGCCACUUUACAAUAGUGCAUCUAGGUCUU